ACUCCUACGGGAGGCAGCAGUGGGGAAUUUUCCGCAAUGGGCGAAAGCCUGACGGAGCAACGCCGCGUGAGGGAGGAAGGUCUUUGGAUUGUAAACCUCUUUUCUCAAGGAAGAAGUUCUGACGGUACUUGAGGAAUCAGCCUCGGCUAACUCCGUGCCAGCAGCCGCGGUAAU
rnacentral:rRNA from 1 species